rnacentral:rRNA from 1 species
UGAUCCAGGGAGGUAGUGACAAGAAAUAACAACCUAGUCGCAAGACAGUGGAUUGUAAUGAGUGCAAUUUAAAACACUGCACGAGGAACAAUUGGAGGGCAAGUCUGGUGCCAGCAGCCGCGGUAAUUCCAGCUCCAAUAGCGUAUAUUAAAGUUGUUGCAGUUAAAAAGCUCGUAGUUGAAUUUCUAGUCAGUUAAUUUGGAGGUCUCCUUCACUUUAGCUGGCUAUUCGACACUGAACCAUGUCGGUUAUUAAGUUAACCCCAUGGAGAAUUGUCAUUUUACUUUGAAAAAAUUAGAGUGUUUCAGGCAGGCAAUUGCCCGGAUAUCUUAGCAUGGAAUAAUGGAAUAGGACUUUGGUUCAUUUUAUUGGUUAUUGAAUCAGAGUAAUGAUUAAUAGGGACAGUUGGGGGCAUUAGUAUUUAAUUGUCAGAGGUGAAAUUCUUGGAUUUAUUAAAGACUAACUUAUGCGAAAGCAUUUGCCAAGGAUGUUUUCAUUAAUCAAGAACGAAAGUUAGGGGAUCAAAGACGAUCAGAUACCGUCCUAGUCUUGACUAUAAACUAUACCGACUCAGGAUUGGCCAUGUUUAAACUUGGUCAGCACUGUAUGAGAAAUUAAAGUCUUUGGGUUCUGGGGGGAGUAUGGUCGCAAGGCUGAAACUUAAAGGAAUUGACGGAAGGGCACCACCAGGAGUGGAGCCUG